rnacentral:rRNA from 1 species
UACGGGAGUGGCGAGCGUUGUCCGGAUUUACUAGGCGUAAAGGGCAAGUAGGCGGAGAUAUAAGUUUUGUGUUAAAGGCAUUGGCUCAACCAAUGUAAGGCACAAGAUACUGUAUUUCUAGAGUAAGUGAGAUGUAACCGGAAUUUCUGGUGUAGCGGUGGAAUGCUCAGAUAUCAGAAAGAACACCGAUGGCGAAGGCAGGUUACAGGUGCAUUACUGACGCUAAAUUGCGAAGGUGCGGGUAUCGAACAGG